rnacentral:rRNA from 1 species
GACGAACGCUGGCGGCGUGCUUAACACAUGCAAGUCGAACGGAGCGAAUGAAAGCUUGCUUUUAUAAGCUUAGUGGCAAACGGGUGAGUAACACGUAGGCAACCUGCCGACAGGAUGGGGACAACAUUCCGAAAGGAAUGCUAAUACCGAAUGAAGCGCAGGAGAGGCAUCUCUCCUGCGUGAAAGAUGGCCUCUAUAUAUAAGCUAUCACCUGUCGAUGGGCCUGCGUCUGAUUAGCUGGUAGGUGAGGUAACGGCUCACCUAGGCGACGAUCAGUAGCCGGUCUGAGAGGAUGAACGGCCACAUUGGGACUGAGACACGGCCCAGACUCCUACGGGAGGCAGCAGUGGGGAAUCUUCCGCAAUGGGCGCAAGCCUGACGGAGCAACGCCGCGUGAGUGAAGAAAGGGUCUUUCGGGAUCGUAAAAGCUCUGUUGAAUGGGG